CAGAAACUACAAAGGAAUUGACGGGGGCCCGCACAAGCGGAGGAACAUGUGGUUUAAUUCGAUGAUACGCGAGGAACCUUACCUGGGCUAGAACGCAUUCGGAAUCAGGCCGAAAGGCCUGCGCCAGCGAUGGCCGCUUGCGAGGUGCUGCAUAGUUGUCGUCAGCUCGUGCCGUGAGGUGUCGGGUUAAGUCCCAUAACGAGCGCAACCCCUACUGCUAGUUGCCAGCGGGUCAUGCCGGGGACUCUAGCGGAACUGCCAGCGUAAGCUGCGAGGAAGUGGGGAUGACGUCAAAUCAGCACGGCCCUUACGUCCAGGGCUACACACGUGUUACAAUGGCCGGUACAGAGGGCAGCCACCCCGCGAGGGGGCGCGAAUCCCGAAAGCCGGUCCCAGUUCGGAUCGGAGUCUGCAACCCGACUCCGUGAAGCUGGAUUCGCUAGUAAUCGCGCAUCAGCCACGGCGCGGUGAAUACGUUCCCGGGCCUU
rnacentral:rRNA from 1 species